rnacentral:rRNA from 1 species
AUUGAACGCUGGCGGCAGGCCUAACACAUGCAAGUCGAACGAGUGGCGGACGGGUGAGUAAUGUCUGGGAAACUGCCCGAUGGAGGGGGAUAACUACUGGAAACGGUAGCUAAUACCGCAUACCAUCGGAUGUGCCCAGAUGGGAUUAGCUAGUAGGUGGGGUAACGGCUCACCUAGGCGACGAGCCCUAGCUGGUCUGAGAGGAUGACCGGCCACACUGGAACUGAUACACGGUCCAUACUCCAACGGGAGGCAGCAGUGGGGAGUUUUGCACAAUGGGCGAAAGCCUGAUGCAGCCCUGCCGCGUGUAUGAAGAAGGCCUUCGGGUUGUAAAGUACUUUCAGCGAGGAGGCGUUACUCACAGAAGAAGCACCGGCUAACUCCGUGCCAGCAGCCGCGGUAAUUC